rnacentral:rRNA from 1 species
GAUGAACGCUGGCGGCGUGCCUAAUACAUGCAAGUCGAGCGAACAGACGAGGAGCUUGCUCCUCUGACGUUAGCGGCGGACGGGUGAGUAACACGUGGAUAACCUACCUAUAAGACUGGGAUAACUUCGGGAAACCGGAGCUAAUACCGGAUAAUAUAUUGAACCGCAUGGUUCAAUAGUGAAAGACGGUUUUGCUGUCACUUAUAGAUGGAUCCGCGCCGCAUUAGCUAGUUGGUAAGGUAACGGCUUACCAAGGCAACGAUGCGUAGCCGACCUGAGAGGGUGAUCGGCCACACUGGAACUGAGACACGGUCCAGACUCCUACGGGAGGCCGCAGUAGGGAAUCUUACGCAAUGGGCGAAAGCCUGACGGAGCAACGCCGCGUGAGUGAUGAAGGUCUUCGGAUCGUAAAACUCUGUUAUUAGGGAAGAACAAAUGUGUAAGUAACUAUGCACGUCUUGACGGUACCUAAUCAGAAAGCCACGGCUAACUACGUG